rnacentral:lncRNA from 1 species
AUGAACUACACUGUUGAUCACUCGGUUGUCAAUGAAAGUAUCGAAGAAAUUAAUCUAGCUGUAUGUGAGGUUGUCUCGUUUUUGUGCGAUUCCGUUCAGUUCAAAGAAGAAGAGAGUGAAGGACAGUCUAAUGUAAGCGACUUACUCUCAGAACAGGAUACUAUUUUUGAAGAUUUGCCGAAUGAAUUUUUUGAUGGAGUUUUCAAGGACAUAUCCAUGAAAAUGAUGUCGAUCGAAGAUCUAGUUGCAGCAGGCGACAAAGAUGACUCAAAUCCAUCUGAUUCGGAUGGCAACAACAUGAUGGAAAUAGGUGAAGAUGAUAGCCAGAAUUGUCCAGCUGAUUUACCCUUGAAACGUAAUUUUGAAUUCUCCUUAUCAAGUAGGUUUCCAAAAAUCGAUUCCAUCACGCAAACUGAAUCCGCAGAAAGUAUCUGCUCCUCGAAGAAUGUUUUUUGCAAAGGUCUGUCUUUAGAAAAAGGGGAGGAUGCUGUGCUCCAUGUGAAAAUUCAAGAAGAUUAUAAUGAAACUAAUGACAACUCGGCUUCUUAUUUAAAAGAAUCAAACUUGAAUUCGUUACGAUUACUACAAGUAGAUGGCUUGGUUGAUUGCUCUAGUUGCAGUGAUACGAGUUCAAAUAGUGAUGAGUCAGAAUCAUUUUGGCCCGAAGAAGAAAACUGUAUGAUCAAGAAAAAUUACAUUGAGGAAGAAAGGCUACAAAAUGAAUCACCUACUUAUGAAAUUCCUCAGUUAGAUGGAAGCAUUGAAAUAUCAGAUGAAACUGAAGAAAAUCCAGUGAAAUGUAGCCGCUGUCGUCGAACUUACAGGACAGAUGUCAGCUACCAACGACAUUUGUCCAGUUGUAAUGCAGAAUAUAUGUCCUCAUCAGGGGAAAGUGAUAAUGAAGAUGAAACCAAAUGUAACUCAAUUCACAAUCGAUCAACAGAAACGAGUAGUUCUGACAUUGGAGAUUCCCUACAUGUCUCCGAAAUAAAUCUUGUUGAUGAUGUAACUGUAACAAUGCAGAAUUCGAGUAGUAUCAACAUGUUAUCAGACAACAAAAAUCUUGGUAACAAUUUUGAAUUUACCAGCUCGGGCAAUAGCGCUAUCUCCAUUGAUCAAACUGAAAGUUUGCCAAGUAUUGAUUCAAAGAAAGUGAAUCCUACCAAUACAUUUUGUGCUUCCAUUACUGUAAGUAAAGCUGCUUUUCUAUCUGGUGUUACGUCCUCUGGAGGUCCACAGUAUGUUAAUUCCAUUAAUGGCAAAGGACGACCAUUGAAGACUUCUUUCAUGGUAGGAAAAUCAGAACCUCUCCCUCCACCUGCACAGUUUGGUAAUCCUAUCAUGUAUCAACAAACUCCGACAAUAAUGGACCAACCACAAUACACUGGAGCAUCAGUCACAACCCCCACUUUCAUACUGCAGCAAGUGCCACAACAAAUGGCGUCAGCCAGCAUCAAUAUUUCAUCAUUCGUGCAACCUGUAAAUUCAACUCCGAAUGUCCAGUACAUCGCUGCUGUCGAGUCUUCCAAUCAGCCCCAAUUCAUCGCAACUCCAGACCCCAUGAAUCCUGGAUCGUUCCGAAUACAGCAAUCAUCCCUAAUCUCACCGAUCGUUCCACAAGUUGUAGGUGCAAUAAUUCAACCUCCAGUGGAGCAGAUUGUGACCAUGAACCCUCAAGCAUCAAAUAUAGACUUUUUCGCAGCACCAAACCCAAGUAACAACAUUUUCUUGAGCAGUCAACCAGUAAUGAAUGCUGUCGUGAACAAUUCUAUUUUGUGCAACUCUGUGAUGAGCAACUCACUGUUGAACAACACUUUAGUCAACAGUCCGGUGAUGAGCAACGCUGUUCUGAACAAUUCUUUGAUUUCGAAUCCCCUCGUUAGCAAUGGUUAUCAUACGAUGACCUCUCAGUUGGUUCAAUCAUCAAAGCCAGCAAUUGAAGCAACCAGCUAUGUUAUCGUUACCACUAAUCCAAGCGUAAAAGACUGUUUUUCUGCACCUGUAUCAGUUCAGUCUGCUCAGUCGACAACAUGGGCUCCUUCCAGCAAUUGGUCUUUCAACAAGCAUACGUGCAAAACCACCAAAGAAGUCACAACUUUGUACCACGCAAAAGGCGAGUUAAUACCCAACCAGUGCAAACCCAGUCAAGUAAAUUGUGUUAAAGUAGUCAAGAAAGAAACGACAGAAGAGAUGAUGAUCGAGACAGCUUCUGUAAAUAAUCCAUUUUAUGAAAAAAUAUCGGCUGAGCUGCCUACUGAUGAAAAUGUACCGGCAGAUGAAGUGUCUCGCUUGACCAAUUUUGUGAAAGACAUUCCUGCAAUUUUUAAUGCCCAUUCUCUCAAAUCGCUGACCCCUUUGCCGAACUCUUCAAAUUCAUCUAUUCUACAUCAGCAAAAUGAAUCAUCAAAGGAUGUGGUGCAAGAACUUGGAACUAAAGUUCCUAGCAUAUCAAUAAGCAAAACAACUUGCGCUCCAAGCCCAUCUCAUCUGUGUGCACUGACUGCACCGCAGACUGAAUUCAGAAUUUCAACUUCUAUUAGUAAACCUCAGGUGACUGUAUGCAAGAGUGUCGAUGAAAAUGUUGAAACCCUCGAUCCCCCAAGCUCUCCUCCUUAUUCUGUUACGGAAGUUUUCUCUAACGAGAUUAAAAACUUCAGAACUUAUUCUGGAAAAAAUUUACCUCCAAAUUACCAAUCAACAAUGUUCUGCAACGAACAGACGAAAAACAGAGAACACACAAUAUCCUGCAAGCUGUCAGUAGCACAGUUACAUCAACAAGUAGCUCACCUCAAUAUGUUAAAAACGACAUCAGUUACUCCAACAGCAUCAUGCAAACUUCCCCUCUCAGUUCUGUCAAUAAUAUUAUCAACUCUGUUCUUAGUUCAAAAGCACCGUUGUCCUGCAAAAUUUCAUCCAAAGAGCAGGUUAAUUCACCUCCCAAAACUUUCCACAGCGAUUACCUAG